ACGAAGCACUUGCAGACACUUUUUUCCUGAGUCUCUCUGAAGAUAUAAAGGAGAGACUUACCAUGGUUGAUCUUCCUACAAGUUUUGAGGGUCUUGUGGAACUUGCUAUUAAGAUUGACAACCAAAUGCAGGAACAAGAGCGGCUCAGAGGAGCUACAGGCCCUGGAUCUGCGCCUUUUAGUCCCAAGGAAGAAAGGUCCUUGGUUCCUGUUCGGGACAUUCUUGAUAAAACACAGAUACGGGACUUUCGUAGACGGAACCCGGGCAUUCCUGGGACGUCUGGGGACGUCCCUUGGGGGGGGGGUACUGUCAGGAUCUGUCAUUUUCUUGGAUCAAAGAAACCAGAGGGCUGUGAGCUCACUUAGGGAGAAUCCAGAGAUUCAGUCAGACAAAGGAGUCCAAGGGCAGUUUGGAAAACGGUCAGACCAAGACUUUACGAGAACUAGGGUUGCAGUGCCCUUGCGACAGUCACUUCAGCUCCCAUGUUAGUGUACGAGAGAGAAUACUGGCGAAGCAGGUUGUUGAGGGAAAUAUGAAGAAGGGAGAAACAUUAAACAUUUCUAAGACCCACGGAUACGUGAAUCAGUGAACUGCAGGAGAACCAGGCACAACAGUGGCCAAGAUUGCCCAGUACAAGAGGAAACGAUCGCUCUCUGAGUGCUGCAGGUGCUGAUUAAACAGGAGAUUCAGAGGAAAAGUGGCUAUGCUAUCCAAGUGGAUGAGGAGCAUCUCAGGGUGAACUCAAUGCCCCUACACAGUUCAAGGCCAGUGUGUCUAAACAGUAGCAGUUACAAGUGCAAACCGCCUC